UACGUAUGGUGCAAGCGUUAUCCGGAUUUACUGGGCGUAAAGGGAGCGCAGGCGGCGCGCCAAGUCUGAUGUGAAACCCCGGGGCUCAACCCCGGGCAUGCAUUGGAAACUGGGAGACUUGAGUGCAGAAGAGGAGAGUGGAACUCCAUGUGUAGCGGUGAAAUGCGUAGAUAUAUGGAAGAACACCAGUGGCGAAAGCGGCUCUCUGGUCUGUAACUGACGCUGAGGUUCGAAAGCGUGGGUAGCAAACAGG
rnacentral:rRNA from 1 species